rnacentral:tRNA from 1 species
CGGGGCGUAGCUUAGGUAAAAGCGCCAAAGUUUAUCCCUUUGGAGACUGCUGGUUCAAGUCCAGCCGCCCCGA